UGUGCAUAGUUUAAUUUUAUUGGACAUCUUCUGAUUUCUCUUUUCUGUUUACCUUUUUCUGUUUCUGUUUACCUUUUUCUGUUUCUCUUGAAUCUUGUAUUUGAGAAUCAAAUUUUCUAUUCAGCUCUGGUCUUUUCAUCAGAAAUGUUUGGAAUUCCUCUAUUUCAUUGAAUACUCAUUUUUUCCUAUGUAGGAUUAUGCUCAGUUUUGCUACCCCGCUCUCAACCCUUCUCCCAGCUUGCAGGCCAGUCGGUGAGCGGGAAGGUGCUUGUGCCCUGGCACGGGGCGGCAGCUGCUCCCGCAUGGCGGGGCCAGGGGGCAGAGGAGCAGCAUCUCGGAGGAUGAAGGGCUCGCUGGGCGUUAGGCGGGACAAGCUACCCGGGGCCCCCAAGCCGCCCCAACCCCGGCACGAAAAAGAAGAGACAAGAUAUCAGAAGAAAUCUUUCCUUUGUUUACAACAGUUAGCAGCAUGAUUUGAGCAGAGGGACACACAGUGAGACAACAUAUGCCAGCACAACCCGCUUUACAGCUUCCCUGCUGGGAACAGACCAUGGAACGACAUCAGGUGUUCCCUUUAAAAAGAAUUUUCAUACUGUCUUUCAUUGCUAAAUCACUGACAUAAAAUAAACUAAAAUAAAAAAAUAAAAGUGCUGAAUCU
rnacentral:lncRNA from 1 species